rnacentral:lncRNA from 1 species
CUCAAGUAGUGGACUAGGUUCACACACAAGUUGGUCCAAAAAAUCUUCACAAGAUAAUGUACUAUCAAUCAAAAAUGGCUUCAACACUAGAUGGACACAAAUUGAUCUUACUAGAAGAUUCAAUUAGUUUAGCAUUAUGAUUAACUAGUGUAUCCACGCUCUCAACUUGUGCGUUAUUAUCCUGAAGUAAAUAGAUAUUAGGCCCAUCUAAUGAUAAGCUAUCACUCACACUUAGUUGG